rnacentral:misc_RNA from 1 species
UUGAUUGAUUCAUCAUCGUACUCGGACACACAGAUGCAGCGUUAGACGGUCCACCGGGGGCCCCGGCACCGGAGGGCCGGGUUGCCCCCGAGGCAACAGUGUCGGGUGACAUGGGGUUGAGAGGUCGGACCCGGAGGCCCUCGCUCGGUAAUGAUCCCUCCGCAGGUUCACCUACGGAGA